AUUGAACGCUGGCGGCAGGCCUAACACAUGCAAGUCGAGCGGCUGAAGGGAGCUUGCUCCUGGAUUCAGCGGCGGACGGGUGAGUAAUGCCUAGGAAUCUGCCUGGUAGUGGGGGAUAACGUCCGGAAACGGGCGCUAAUACCGCAUACGUCCUGAGGGAGAAAGAGGGGGAUCUUCGGACCUCACGCUAUCAGAUGAGCCUAGGUCGGAUUAGCUAGUUGGUGGGGUAAAGGCCUACCAAGGCGACGAUCCGUAACUGGUCUGAGAGGAUGAUCAGUCACACUGGAAGUGAGACACGGUCCAGACUACUAAGGGAGGGAGCAGUGGGGAAUAUUAGACAAUGGGCGAAAGCCUGAUCCAGCCAGGCCGCGUGUGAGAAGAAGGUCUUCGGAUUGUAAAGCACCUUAAGUUGGGAGGAAGGGCAGUAAGUUAAUACCUUGCUGUUUUGACGUUACCAACAGAAUAAGCACCGGCUAACUUCGUG
rnacentral:rRNA from 1 species